rnacentral:rRNA from 1 species
UACGUAGGGUGCGAGCGUUGUCCGGAAUUAUUGGGCGUAAAGAGCUCGUAGGCGGUUUGUUGCGUCGGCUGUGAAAUCCCGAGGCUCAACCUCGGGUCUGCAGUCGAUACGAGCAAACUAGAGUGUUGCAGGGGAGACUGGAAUUCCUGGUGUAGCGGUGAAAUGCGCAGAUAUCAGGAGGAACACCGGUGGCGAAGGCGGUUCUCUGGGAAUGUCCUGACGCUGAGGAGCGAAAGUGUGGGGAGCGAACAGG